rnacentral:rRNA from 1 species
UACGUAGGGUGCAAGCGUUGUCCGGAAUUAUUGGGCGUAAAGAGCUCGUAGGCGGUCUGUCGCGUCGGCUGUGAAAACUCGGGGGCUCAACCCCCGAGCCUGCAGUCGAUACGGGCAGACUUGAGUGCUGUAGGGGAGACGUGGAAUUCCUGGUGUAGCGGUGAAAUGCGCAGAUAUCAAGGAGGAACACCGGUGGCGAAGGCGGGUCUCUGGGCAGUAACUGACGCUGAGGAGCGAAAGCGUGGGGAGCGAACAGG